rnacentral:rRNA from 1 species
UACGUAGGGUGCAAGCGUUAAUCGGAAUUACUGGGCGUAAAGCGUGCGCAGGCGGUUUUGUAAGUCUGUCGUGAAAUCCCCGGGCUCAACCUGGGAAUUGCGAUGGAGACUGCAAGGCUAGAAUCUGGCGAGAGGGGGGUAGAAUUCCACGUGUAGCAGUGAAAUGCGUAGAGAUGUGGAGGAACACCGGAUGGCGAACGGCAGCCCCCUGGGUCAAGAUUGACGCUCAUGCACGAAAGCGUGGGGAGCAAACAGG